UGCCCACUUCUCACUAUGUUAAUUGGAUUUGUGUCUUUACAGAUCAUUCAAGUGGGGCAAAGGAAAUAUUAUAUUAACACUCAACCAAAUAUUGUGUUUAUCUUGGAUCCUGUCAGAAUAAACAACU
ensembl:snoRNA